ACAGAAGUUUCUCUGUGGCCUCAACAAGAUUGUCUGGAUUGGUCUGACUGACUCCGUUACUGGGAGGACACGGAAAUGGAUGCAUGGCACACCACUGACCACGGCAAGCUAUUGGAGGAGUGGAGGCCCUUAUGGUGGUGGAGUGGAGAACUGUGUGGUUGUACGUUACUGGUCAUCAGGAUACAGAAAAGGGUGGGACUAUCAGUGUUCAAAUCCACAGUUCUGGAUCUGUGAAAAAGGCCUCUUGUAGGUACUGCUGUUUAAGGAACUCUGAAGACGGAUUCUAUAUUUUGUUAGAAUGGCACUCUGAACUAGACUUUGGAAAGAAAGGCACACACACACACACACACACACACACACACACAAGCAUGAACACAUACAAAACAAAUGAGGUAUAUAUCACCCAAUAGCUGCUGUCAAUGUUUAAAUGUACAGUUCAUUAUGUAGCAUUGCAUGUAGGCUGUACACAAUUCUCUCUCUCUACCGCUACCUUUCUCAUGUUGAUGGUUGUUUACACUGUUGAAAGGUUACGUGAUGAUUCCACCUAGUGGUUAACGUGAGAGAUGGACUCACCAUAGAGUUGAAAAAGUGGUAUUACAGACUGGCCUACUGGCUUUUCCUCAAUUCAUCCUUCCUCGAUUACUCCUCGCAUCCUCUCUCCUCCCCUCCUUCUCAAAACACAUUGGAGAAUACAUUCCUCGGGGAGGGACCUUCUCCUCUAAUACUGGUGAGGAGGAGAGGAUUUUAUGUUAAGAUUUAGAUGAGUGUGUAGACACACCACACUCUAAAAUGCUUGUAUUCAUUGUUUUUAUUAGCAACAUGUCAUGUGAUUUGCCAUGCUUCCGCUAAGUUCAUUAAUCAUUUUUCUCUAUUUUUUUCAUGAUCGAUUAUUAUCAUCAAUCCUUUUUAUAAUGAGAAGAACAAAGGCACAGAUUAAUAAAUAAAUGAACAAUGUC